rnacentral:rRNA from 1 species
UACGAAGGGGGCGAGCGUUGUUCGGAAUUACUGGGCGUAAAGGGCGCGUAGGCGGCGCUGCAAGUCGGGGGUGAAAGGCCUGGGCUCAACCUGGGAAUGGCCUCCGAGACUGUAGUGCUUGAGACCGGGAGAGGCGAGUGGAAUUCCCAGUGUAGAGGUGAAAUUCGUAGAUAUUGGGAAGAACACCAGUGGCGAAGGCGGCUCGCUGGACCGGAUCUGACGCUGAGGCGCGAAAGCGUGGGGAGCAAAUAGG